CUGAGCCAGGGCAGCCAGGAGCCAGGGGUGUGGGAGGCUGGGCUGCUGCUCCACGACUUUGCAGAUGCUCAGGGGUCAUUACUUGCCGUUGUCACCAGGGAAAGUUGCAAAAUGAAAAUUAACUGUCAGAGAAGAUUGAUUCAUUUGAUGUCUAACCAGGAGCAGCCUUUUAUUGCUGCAAAAUGCUGAUUUCCGUUUGCUGCCAAUGACAGGAUGGCGGGGAGCGGCAGUGAGAAGCCUCAUUAUGUGCGGCUCUGCCUCGAAGAACAAGCCUCGCGCUGCAACCCCAGCACCCGGGCCCGCGAACAGAGCAUUAAAUUGUUGGGAAUGGCUCCCCUUCACUCGCAGAACAAAGAUGUUUUCUCCAGAAUAAAUUGACUCCCUCUCAGCG